CCAGGUGGCUGCUGAAUUCAGUGCCUGACGUGCCUGGCAGUAAUUCCUUUUUUCGCUGUGCUAGAGGAUCUGGAGCUGGCACGAUGUCCUCUUGUAGACACACCACUGGGGGCACAGUUGGUUGCUGUGCAAGGACAAGCAUGAAGGAAGGUGCCAGCUUUGGGGAGUCACUGUUUUCUUUGUUUUAACCAGCAGAUGACAGGGCAGGAUCCCCCACAGCAGAGCUGUCCCAGGGGAACAUGCUCUUCAACACAACCAGACAUCGAUGGACUUCACAUGAGCCUCAGGCCCCAGGAAGCUCGAAGGAGCUGGAAGGCGAAGAGGAGCCGCUUUUGAAUGCGGCGGGGAAUAGACCUGCAACUCCGGUCCUGCUCCCCCCGGCUCCAGACCCCUCGGACGCGGUCCCGGCGGGGAGGUUUUCAGAAGAGAGAGCAGGAGAAGCCCGUGGCUGCUUUGGGAGAAGCUGGGUACUGCUGGGAGCAGGUGGAGGAGGAACCCCUGGAAAAGCCUGAGAUCCAGUGAGAGGUGGGGAGCAGCCCCCGAUGGACCACCCUACAUCGGCAGCCCCCCUGGAGGAGAGUGUGACCCUGGCCCUUCUUUUCUGCCCCCCACCCUGGUACCCGCCACUCUUAGCCCUGUCCUAAAGAGGUCCUCAGCUCCAGCUUUUUCCUCUUCUUUCCCUGACAUUUCCCUUUAGUGAACAUGUUUCCAGUUUUCCUUUCUCCUUUCCUGUUGCUCAGGAAGGACCCAUGAGUCUCACUCCCCUGGCUGGCACAGCCUGGCUUUGCUUUGAAUUAUUUAUAUAUAUUUUUUUUUUCAGAUUAAGCAUUUAGUGUGAAUAAAUUGUUCUCACUUCUCCCUCUGAUUAUUCA
rnacentral:lncRNA from 1 species